CAAAGUGCAACGAAGAUCGCGAUGCAGCCCUACUAUUUCUGCGGUGUCAUUUGUGAUUGUGUUUUGUGGAAGUGAAUUUUAAAAAAAGGGCCGUUAAUAACGGAGUCGGUGACUCCCAACAUAGUCUUCCUAAUUUGGAACAUAUAAUAGAGCCAGCGGCAACCGCCCAGCUCGGCCGGAACACAGCUAGCCAAGGCUGAACCAUCAUCCCCUCCCCCGGAGCCAACUGACUGCAGCGAGGGAGUGUGCGGGGAAGAUAUCUAAAUCAUAACUGGCGCCCAACUUCAGUAGAGAAUCCACGACCCCAAAAUAUGAUCGCGGGAAUUUUAUUGAUAACGUUAACUAUGGUUAACGCUAGGAUUACGGAUUAUUCGCACGCUCAAUACAUCCCAAUCACGGACGGAAUUGCGUUGGUAUGGGAACAUAGAAAUUUGCUUAGACAUUCAAGUAACUUGUCCGAAUUUUCAAUUAUAGUAGAAGAAACUGCUAGGUUGUCCGAUUUAUUCCCACAGUCUCAUAUGAAAAAAUUGUUAGACGUCGACACCGAACAUGUUAGAAGUUUAUUGUCUGUUUUAAAAGUACAUCAUAGGAUGGCCAGGAGCCUAGACUUCCUAGGCACCGCACUCAAGGUAAUUGCAGGCACACCUGAUUCAGCCGAUUUCGAUAUGCUAAAAAUGUCUGAGGCACGCCUAAUUGAGUCAAAUAACCGUCAGGCUGUAAUAAAUACACAGACGCAGAACAAAAUUAAUGAAUUAACAGAGGCCGUUAACAAAAUUAUCAAGGCCAAACUAAAUAAUAUAGUUGACACUUCUCAUCUGUACGAGGUACUUUUGGCCAGAAAUAGAAUACUAAUAACCGAGAUUCAAAAUGUAAUGCUUACAGUCACACUUGCAAAGGCCAACAUUAUAAACCCAGCAAUUUUUAACCAGAAUGAUUUGAAGUCUGUAUCUGUAUACCCUAAAAUUAAAACAACU